GCAUUGGUGGUUCAGUGGUAGAAUUCUCGCCUGCCAUGCGGGAGGGGAGGCCCGGGUUCGAUUCCCGGCCAACGCA